UGUGAAGGUGAAAUAUAGUCUAAACAAAAUUCAGCAAAGACACCUCUGCACUACUACCGACCUCUUUAGUACGUCAGUGCUCAUGAUCGUCUUGGUUAAUGUAAUUAGAACUGGAGAAAGGGCUUGAAGAAUUCAGAGCUUCACAGUUUUGGAGACAACAUCUCAUAGACUAAAUAUCUGGAGACAUAGAAUAUAUUGAAUCUGAAAAUUGAAAUAAAAGAAAAUUUUAUAAAAAUUGAGGUGAUUAUUUUGGCUAUCCAGAGAACACAAGUGGUAUUUAUCCUGAACCAUAGCGGAGAAGUAGGAUGGAAUUCAGGAAAAUGGGAAGAGAGCCCUGGAUUGAGAAGAGGCUAGGGGCUGAGGCAGAGUUAAAAAGAACAGAGGACACUUCUACGCCAAACUCAAGAUUCUGAGGCACAGGAAGCUGAAACUCUCUACCUCUCACUAUCCACCUGAUGCAGUUUGUCACCUUUAUCAAUCCUGACAGCUCUAGUAAAGCAGUGAAACAGGAUGUUAACGUCAAGGUCUCCGCCAAGAUACCAUGAUACAAUAGAAGCUGCAUGCCCAAGUGAGGUGCCAGAGCAGCACACACAGUCUCCUCACCCAUGGACUCUUCACCCAGGGUUCCUGACACCACUUGAAGGUUCCAGAACAGUAUUGGGCCUGCCUGGGUCAAAGAUUUCAUCCAGGCACAAGGACAAAAUUUACCUUGCUGUUUAUUCAGCAGUGAGAGACACAAAUAAGAUUAUGUUUUUCUUAUAACCUACAAGUCAUUUUUGUCUUAAGAUUCCCUUUAUGUAGUCGGGUAGUUUGGGUUGAAUUUAAGAGGGUUGUCUUGAAAGCGUAUUGGACCACUCGCAAAGAUGACAAACAGGAGAUGAAGGAUGAGAUUGUGAUGUCACGGUCUCAGGCACAGGAAAGGGCUCCACGUCUUAGUGAAGUCAGGGAACCAGGUCACGCUGCCAUCCUCACACUGCAGGCUGUAGAGACCUGGGAAGGAAGCCCAUAGCUCUU
rnacentral:lncRNA from 1 species